UUUUCUACUGGAGUUGCCCUCGAUCGCUUCAUUGAGUGUUUUAUGUUCUAUAAAAACGAACGACAUUCAAUGAAGUGUUUGGGGGAACUCCUGUGGUAAA
rnacentral:pre_miRNA from 1 species